UACCUCUCCGUAGAAAGUGAGGCUUUCAACGAAUAACGCAUAAACAUAAUCUUGUAAACACUCAUUUUUUCAUGAUGAUUCAUGUUGAUAACGUGAAUUAGUUAAAUACUCCUGAAUGAACCCGUUCUCUGGCGACAUCUGGAAGUCUAUGCUUGACGGCAAGGUUCCCAACUUCCCACCCGAGCCUCAGUUGCUCAUCAGUCGUUCGUGAGACUACGUACCAACAGUACAACAAACAUGUCUGACAGUCUUGACGGUUGCCUUAGUUGUCUGGAUGUAUGUGGUUAUUGCUGUGAGUCUUCUGCGCUUCUCUGCCUUGUCUGUGACUGCUGUUACGAUGGUUCAUCCAGUGCAGGCAAUGGGAAGAAAAAGGAAGAAGAGAAAGUGGUGACGACCCAACCCACGACAACAGACGACACAGCAAAAGAAGCAACCUGAAUUCCCAAGAACUACAGAAUACUUGUGUCUAAUUCUCAAAAACCAUGACAAUAACAUUAAUUAGAAAUGUUUACUACAAGAAAUCAUGUUAUUUGUAUCUGUGUGAAUAGCUGUGAUAUUCUGUUUAGAUCGCAUGUAUGUUUCGGCGGAUGUUAGUAAUCUGUACUAUAUUUUACAAUGUAGAACAUGGAAGAGAAACAUACCUUUGAAUGAGGGAUUGUUAUGUGGUAAGUUGAUUAGAGAGUGAAUGAAGAAUUAGCAUUAUGCUUGUUACUGAAUUAAGAAUUAGUGUUUAGCAUGUUGAGUAGAUAUGAUUAUUUUUUAGUGAAUGACAAGUGGACACGUGGGAAAAGUUUCUUUUUAGAUUAAGCCAUUUCCGUAGCUGUUAAUAGUUCAACUUUUUUCCAUCCUUAGCAGUAUUUUGCAUGUCUCUGUUCUUCCAUAUUAUUUUUUGAAAUAGAGUUCGCAAAACUUAGAUUUCGUUUAGGCUUUCGAGUCUUUUUUCUAUUGUGAUGUUUCAGUUCAGUAUUGCCAAGGAGGUAAAUACAUUUUUUUUCUUUGAUUCUGACCUCUCUCUCUCUCUCUCUCUCUCUCUCUCUCUCUCUCUCUCUCUCUCUCUCUCUCUCUCUCUCUCUCUCUCUCUCUCUCUCUCUCUCUCUCUCUCUCUUAUUCGCAUUCUUCAUUUUUUUUAAACAGGGACUAAUCCUUAGUACAUUUGUGCUUAUAUGUAAUAUCUGAUCGCCUACUUCUGAAUUCUUUUGAUGUUAGUGGUUUUGUUUACAUGUGAUGUUCCAGAUUAUUUUCUCAUUGUGAAUAAAUAUGUACAAAAUUAA